GCGGGCGCGCCGACGUCGGAGAGUCGGGGCUGGCUGUAACCCAGUUGCAUUGUCUGAGGGGGUUCGAAUCCCUCCGCCCGCAC
rnacentral:tRNA from 1 species